rnacentral:rRNA from 1 species
AGCUUGCUCCCUGAUUCAGCGGCGGACGGGUGAGUAAUGCCUAGGAAUCUGCCUGGUAGUGGGGGACAACGUUUCGAAAGGAACGCUAAUACCGCAUACGUCCUACGGGAGAAAGCAGGGGACCUUCGGGCCUUGCGCUAUCAGAUGAGCCUAGGUCGGAUUAGCUAGUUGGUGAGGUAAUGGCUCACCAAGGCUGCGAUCCGUAACUGGUCUGAGAGGAUGAUCAGUCACACUGGAACUGAGACACGGUCCAGACUCCUACGGGAGGCAGCAGUGGGGAAUAUUGGACAAUGGGCGAAAGCCUGAUCCAGCCAUGCCGCGUGUGUGAAGAAGGUCUUCGGAUUGUAAAGCACUUUAAGUUGGGAGGAAGGGCAGUAAGUUAAUACCUUGCUGUUUUGACGUUACCGACAGAAUAAGCACCGGCUAACUUCGUGCCAGCAGCCGCGGUAAUACGAAGGGUGCAAGCGUUAAUCGGAAUUACUGGGCGUAAAGCGCGCGUAGGUGGUUUGUUAAGUUGGAAGUGAAAGCCCCGGGCUCAACCUGGGAACUGCUUUCAAAACUGGCAAGCUAGAGUAUGGCAGAGGGUGGUGGAAUUUCCUGUGUAGCGGUGAAAUGCGUAGAUAUAGGAAGGAACACCAGUGGCGAAGGCGAC